rnacentral:rRNA from 1 species
GUCUUUAUGUAAAAAUAUAAAGUCUGGCCUGCCCACUGAAGUUUUAAAGGGCCGCGGUAAUUUGACCGUGCGAAGGUAGCAUAAUCAAUAGUCUUUUAAUUGAAGGCUGGAAUGAAUGGUUGGACAUGAAGUAUUCUGUCUUAUUUAUAAAGAUUGAAUUUAACUUUUAAGUGAAAAGGCUUAGUAGAUUUAAGGGGACGAUAAGACCCUAUAAAACUUUACAUUAAUACACUAGUUUUUGAAUUUGAGUUUAAAGUGUAUUAGGUUGUAGUUAUGUUAUGUUGGGGCGACAAAGAUAUAAUAGUAACUGUUUAUUAGUUAAAAUAGAUAUGUCUAGAGAAUUUGAUCCUUUAAUGGGGUUUACAAGAAUAAGUUACUUUAGGGAUAACAGCGUUAUUUUUUCUGAGAGUUCUUAUCGACGAAAGUAGUUGCGACCUCGAUGUUGAAUUAAAGUUUCGGCGGGGCGCAGAAGUCUCGCGAGUGGGUCUGUUCGACCUUUAAAACUUUACAUGAUUUGAGUUCAAACCGGUGUGAG